CCUACGGCAGGCAGCAGUGGGGAAUAUUGCGCAAUGGGCGCAAGCCUGAUGCAGCAACGCCGCGUGAGGGACGACGGCCUUCGGGUUGUAAACCUCUUUUAGCAAGGAAGAAGCGAAAGUGACGGUACUUGCAGAAAAAGCACCGGCUAACUACGUGCCAGCAGCCGCGGUAAU
rnacentral:rRNA from 1 species